rnacentral:misc_RNA from 1 species
CAGCAUUGCCGUAGCAAUUUUCGUCCGUCUCUUCUCUCAUUCGCUACUCGUCCGGAGAGCAAAACAAAAUAAGAAAUACAUAUAUCUUGGGGUGAAUAGGAAAUUGUCCCUGCACCGAUUCGCGCCAAUAUUCCUGUCAAGGAAAUGAAAAACAAAACAGACAAAUAAAACAUAACUGGACACAACUAAAUCAAUCCGGCGAAGACGCGACGUCGUGCCUCCACCAUUUUGUUUUCCCCACUCCUCGUGCGUGCGUGUUUGCAGUGUUUGUGCAUAGAGCUCCCCAUGAUGCCAGUAAAAUGUGCAAAACCGAACUUAAAACAGGCUUCUUGUAGUGUCAUCUAGUUAGCCAUGGAACGGAUAGCGCCAGAAGAAGCGGCCUCCUUGAGCGAAGCGCGAAAGCAGAUAGUGGAAAUAGCCAGGAAUCGGCCGGGAACACAAGUGGCCAAGUGCAUCCUCGCCUACGACGAGCAACAGGACCUCGCCUCGCUUGUAGUCCUCCUCGAAGAGCUCUCCAAGAACACGGACUACUCCACGGACCUGCGGAUAUCACUGGGAUAUUAUAUUGAGGAGCUACUGCGACACUGCUUAGGAAGCAACUAUGUCUCCCGAAGAUCGGCCAUCGUGGCCGCGGGAAGUGCCCUCCAGUACUGCGGCAAGAUCUAUGGAGACCGCGUGGAGUACAUGUACCAGGUGGUGGAGCACCAGAUCGAAGCCCUGCUCACAUCGGAGUCUCAGAAGGAGACGCCCAGCGGAAGUAGUGCGCCGAAGAACAAUGAACCCAGGCCGGAAGAACCUCGAAAACGUCGCGCGAAAAAGCUGACUAAGAAGGAAGUAGAUCCUUAUUUGCUCACCGUGGAACCGAAAAAGUUCAAGACCAUGUCGGACGACAAACGCUUCAACAUGGCGGGCUUUGUAAAAUGCACGAGAAAUCGGACGAUAGAAUACCUUUAUCAAGAUCAUACGCCGCCCAACUUGUGGAGACACGCGCCAAUUGUAGAUCCCCACAAUCCCUACGACCAGGAUGAAAAAAAGCAGUACAAAAUGUUUACGUAUCACGUAGAGCAUAGGUACAACACGCUUCUGCCGGAUAUUCCCUUUGAAAGGCUGAAUCUCAUUAAGGAAUAUGUGCACACAAACCAGGUGAACACCACGGAGAUUCUUAAUGAGCACAUGACCACGAAGGAUUAUCUGGACGAGUAUAUUGCGCUGGAGAAUCAAAUGCUGGCAGCCCGCUAUGGAGCCACUGUCAGAACGAGAAGAAGUUUGGUUGAACCGGCGAAAAGAUUGAUGGAGGACAGUUUGGUAGCGGAAAUGGCGAAGAAGGUGUGCAUAGACGAGAAUCUGCCAAUAGAUACGGACGAAACUGCUCCGCUGGAAGCAAUGGACGUGGACCAAUCUGUGAUGGCUGAAAACAACCAGUCGCUAAUCACAGCAGAUGCCCUGCAAAAUCAAAUAUCAGUGGACUCAGGCCUAGGCGAAUCGAUGAACACGAGUCAGGAGGACAGCAACAUCAACAUCACGAUGGACAUCAGCCAGGUGGAGAACUCUACUUUGGGCGUUAGCCAAGUGGAGUCGUCUUUGAGCACCAGCCAGGCGGAAAACUCCCUAAGCGUUAGCCAAGUAGAGAAUCUGGCGCUGAGCAGCACAUUAGACAUUAAUGAGUCUAGUGUCCUGGACAGCACGAGAGUGGAUCAGCCCCCCUUAAAAGAUCUUGCUCUAGACGAACUGCUAAUAGAUUCAGGGAUCGGUAUGGAAGAUGUUUCCGAUUUCCAAAUGCAUACAGGCCAGUCUUUUGACGAUGAGGGUGUUGUUCUUUCAGAUCUAGAAGAUCAACGGCAGUUGUCGCCCACGAUGAAGUUGAUUAGCCAAUCGGAAGAGGCGAAAACAGUUCAAGUCAUUGAGAUGGAUGCCGAUGUGGUAAUGAAUGUUCCAAGGGAAGUGUGCUAUCCCAUUCUGCUGAAUGUUAUGGGUCUCCCCAUUAAAGGUCUGCGUCGCAAAUGUAUCUUUAAACUUCCAACUGAGUUCGACUUGUUUAAGCAAGCACGUCUUCCUGCUAAGCGAGAGGCGCAACCAAAAGCCACACCCACUCCCAGAACUAUAUUGCAGAUUGAACGAGAAGCUUUCCAAAAAGAAAAGGAACCCGGCUCCCCCUGCAGCUUAGAGUUCGAUGAGGAUUUUAAUUUCCUGGGCUUCCGUCAACGUAGACCCACAUUUGACUCAGGCUUCGAUAUUGACGAGUUGCGUGGCGGUUCAGCUUGUGUGUCCACCAUCGGAGAAGUUAAAAUUGAGAUUGAAGACGGAACGGAAACCCACACCGACAAGUUGAUUAAUGUAAGCGAUAGCGACGCCUUGGAAAAGAGUGCGAAUGCCGUAAGGGAAUGUGGGCUGGGAGAGUCCCUGAUGGAGGAAUUAAACGCUUCUACCGAACCCAAAACUGAGAACAUUACUGCAAAUUCCUCGCAGCUUGAAGUAACUGAAACAUCCGGAAAUCUAAGCGGACUGGAAACUACAGUGGACUUAGGAAUGGAGAGUGUGCUAACUAGUUCCGUAUUAGAUCCAAGUAUUGAGCCGAAUGCAGUGGACAGUUGUAUUUUAAAUGUCACUCAACUUGACAAUUCAGCCCUGGAGAUUUCAACUCUGCAGGACAAAGCUAUCUUAAAUGACGAAGCAGCUGCAAAGAAUUUGCCUGCUGAAACACCUAAUCCAGAUUUAGACUCGGCAGCCAACGACUGCGAUGAAUCAACGCGUAGCGACUCCCCUUUCGAAAUUGACGAUUUGGAUAGCCCCGAUUCCAGCUCAAUGAUCCGAGACUGGCAUAGACGAUUGGGUCCAGCUUUGGAAGCAGCCCAUGAACGACAGAAUUUCAACAUUAAGGACUUGGGCACUGAGGUUUUAGACAUUUGCAAGGCGGGCAACGGUACAGCCACGUUAGCCGACGUCAUGACUGACAAGGAUCCUAGUAUCAUGUGCCGCUACAUGCUGGCUUCCCUGGUCCUGACAAACCACGGAAACGUGUCCUUGGAUUUUGGAAAUCGCGAUAAAAGUAAGCCCAUCGACAUGUCUCAGUUUCGAAUGCAUUUAAAGAGUACGAAGCGAAUGGAAAUCCAUCCCGAGGACGACGUGGGCAACAUAAAUGCUGCCAAGAGCCACUCGGCGGCGAGGAGUAAAGAGCGAAAUGUUUCAGCUAACAAUACGAAGCCAGGGACAAGCAAGCCGGCGUCUGCAGCUACAAAACGAAAGUCUGCGGAAGUGGCUUUAUCUGAGGUGUUUGCUAAAACUGUUCGAUUGAUACAGCCCAUCCCAAAGAUGUGGCAGACUCCUUCUGAUGCCGACUCGGGGAUAUCUUCGAUGGGCUCUUCAUUGGCAUCUACUCCCCGCCUUAAUGAAUAGUUGUGUUUUGUCUUAAAUGUGCUUCGUAGUUUGUAAAUUCCUUGCGUCCCAGUGGCCCAGAGAUCAAUGCACUUUUCCCAGCAGUACAACAAGAUCAAGAGGCUGCACUAG